rnacentral:misc_RNA from 1 species
CAGUAACAAAAUUUUACGUCCUUAACAAGAACAGCAACUGAACUUGCAAAUUCAAGUAAAAUGCAUAGACAUAAUUUCCUGAGAAGAAAACCCGAGUGCUAAAACUCUGAGGUUGAUAAACAAUAACGAGUAAUUAUACCAACUAAUCAAAAAGUGAUAGGCCAAGGUCAUCAUCAUCACUCUCUUCCUUCACCUCUUCCUUCUUCUCAGCUGGGGCUUCUGCAGCAGCUGGAGCAUCUCCUCCAGCAGGGGCGGCUGCAGCUCCUCCACCACCACCAAUGAAACCGCCACCACUGCCACCGCCAACGAUCACCUGGAAAACGGCGGAGGUGGGAGUAAUGAGAGAGAAAGAGGACUGAACACCACCGGAGGAAUCGACGGAGAGAGCAGAUUGAACGAGCUUCCUCUGGAGCUCGUAGGUGGAGUCGGCAGAGCCUUCAAGGUCACCGGAAUACUGGUUGGCGGUCCACUUACCACCGGAGCUCCGACAGACGAAGGUG